rnacentral:tRNA from 1 species
AUUAGCCUAGUUUAUAAAAAAUAAUAGCUUGUCAGGCUUUAGAAACAAAAUUUGUGGUUAAUG